ACGGGGUGCAGCAGGCGCGAAAACUUGUCAAUGCGGGAAACCGCGAACAGGGGAGUCCAAGUGCAUGCGCAUUGCGUAUGCUGUUCACCUGCCUAAAAAGCAAGUGAAGUAAGGGCUGGGUAAGACAGGUGCCAGCCGCCGCGGUAAUACCUGCAGCCCGAGUGGUGGUCGAUAUUAUUGAGCCUAAAGCGUCCGUAGCCGGUCUAGUAAACCCUUGGGUAAAUCGGGCAGCUUAACUGUCCGAAUUCCGAGGGGACUGUUAGACUUGGGACCGGGAGAGGUCAGAGGUACUCCGGGGGUAGGGGCUAAAUGCGAAAUGGCAAUGCUAUUUUCGACCAUUUCGUUUAGCAUUCCUGUAAUCCUUGGGGGACCACCAGUGGCGAAGGCGUCUGACUAGAACGGAUCCGACGGUAAGGGACGAAACCCUGGGUCGCAAACCGGAUUAGAUACCCGGGUAGUCCAGGGCGUAAACGCUGCAGGCUUGGUGUUGGGGGUCCUACGAGGGCGCCCAGUGCCGGAGUGAAGAUGUUAAGCCUGCCGCUUGGGGAGUACGUCCGCAAGGAUGAAACUUAAAGGAAUUGGCGGGAGAGCACAGCAACGGGAGGAGCGUGCGGUUCAAUUGGAUUCAACGCCGGAAAACUCACCGGGAGCGACGGUUACAUGAAGGUCAAGCCGAUGACUUUACCUGAUUUUCCGAGAGGUGGUGCAUGGCCGUCGUCAGUUCGUACCGUAAGGCGUUCUGUUAAGUCAGAUAACGAACGAGACCCUUGCCCUUAAUUGCUAGUUCAUUCUCCGGAAU
rnacentral:rRNA from 1 species